CCGGCCACACCAUGACUCCACUUCCUCACAAAACCGAGACCAAGAGCACUACGUGCAACGCUCAGUAUGCAUGUGACCGGAUAUCGUUUGGUGCAUUUGGGUUUCAUUGUGACCGUGCUUUACAUACAUAGUUUCACGUUACAUAUACCCGCAUAUACCACCAAAACGGACAGAGCAGACAGACUGAACAGGCGCAAAGGACAGCAGCAUUCCAUUGCCUAUCGUGAGAUAUUAUACAUAUCAAAAUAUUCAGACGCAUGACCACUAGUUAAUGGAUCACUGGUUAGUUUAAAAAGAUAAAUGGGAUUCGGUCAAGCUCUGCAUGAGAGAACGCCUUUCAACGAUAUCAUGCGUUUUGAGAAUUCUUCAUCCGUCGAAAGCAUUCCGACCCGAGGAUUCGCCGAGCCGUGCGAUAUAGAAUAAAUUAUUUGUCUUAAUGAAAGUACGAGUGGACCUCUCUCGAGUCUCAUUCCACGGAUUGUCUUUUCUCCUACUCGGGGUGGAAUUAAGUGUGUGCGUACACAACAGAUUAAAACAUCGACAAUUACCAUCUAUCUUCAUGAGCUAAUGCUGCUGUAACGGUAAUUAUUGUUCCAAUGGUUAUCUUCGAAUUGGAUUAAUACACACGCUAUUGCCUACUGGAUCAAGUACACCGGAGCCGGCAUUAACCCCAAAUUAAGCACCAAAAACAGAAUCUUUUAGAAUGACGCUUCAGGGAAGUCAAACUGCCUUUAAAGUAGUCCUUGUCUUCUGUCUAUGCUGUGUGGCGGCUCUCGUGGUAGUACUCUCGAUAACUACCGACUCGACGGGAUUAAUGCCCUUUAAAUCUCCAGGCUUUUCCAGAAGUUCUAUCCGCUCAAGAUUCAAUUCAACUUACGCACCACAAACCGAAAGCGGUAAUCAAACUAAUACCGGAAGUUCAAAACCAUCAACGUCUAUUGAGAUGUCAACUGAAUCGACAUUGAAUGUCACAGGUCAAGAUAAUUCAACGAACAAGCACAGACCAAAGCU